rnacentral:rRNA from 1 species
CCUACGGGAGGCAGCAGUAGGGAAUCUUCGGCAAUGGGGGCAACCCUGACCGAGCAACGCCGCGUGAGUGAAGAAGGUUUUCGGAUCGUAAAGCUCUGUUGUAAGUCAAGAACGAGUGUGAGAGUGGAAAGUUCACACUGUGACGGUAGCUUACCAGAAAGGGACGGCUAACUACGUGCCAGCAGCCGCGGUAAUACGUAGGUCCCGAGCGUUGUCCGGAUUUAUUGGGCGUAAAGCGAGCGCAGGCGGUUUGAUAAGUCUGAAGUUAAAGGCUGUGGCUCAACCAUAGUUCGCUUUGGAAACUGUCAAACUUGAGUGCAGAAGGGGAGAGUGGAAUUCCAGGUGUAGCGGUGAAAUGCGUAGAUAUAUGGAGGAACACCGGUGGCGAAAGCGGCUCUCUGGUCUGUAACUGACGCUGAGGCUCGAAAGCGUGGGGAGCGAACAGGAUUAGAUACCCUAGUAGUC